GCGUCGCCCGAGGCGUCUGCGCCCCGGGCGCCGAGUGUGAGGGCCACGGGGAGGUCGGUAAGAGGCUGCGCCGAGGCGCCUGGGGCAGAGCGGCUUGGGCCGGUCCUCGGCCGCCGUCAGGGUGCAGGCCCCUGUGGUGAUGCUGGCCUAGAUCUUGGAGGAGGAUGUUGAUGGUUAUGGGAGUGAAGUGACACGAACUAGAGCAGAUCCUUAGUGGUAAGACGGGCGUGAAAGGAAGUCCUUCGAGGAGGGUGUAGAAGCUCCCAUCCGGAUGCCCCAGGAACCCUGCCUGGAGCCUACGAGCCGCAGCAAGUGCUCCAUGUGGGUAUGGUUUCUGGCUGACUAAAUUCUAGGAUAUUCAGUAUUGGCUGACUGAAGCUCUCAUUCAAGAUGUAAUGGAACCAACGUAAUUUUGCUUUAUGGUUUCCAUGAAGGAGUGCAUCCCUCAUUCUCACCAAGGAAAGUACCAGGCAGAUGAAAAACCAAAACCAUCUUAGGCAGCCUCCAAUUAUAAACUCAGAAGAGACCUUUGGGUACAUAAGUUCAGCCUUUGAAGAUAGAGACAAAGCACACAGGCUGUGGCGGUGCCAGAUGUCAGAGCUACACACAUGGUUGCCUGCAAGAAGGAGAGAGUAUCCCUUACAGCUCUCUCUUAGGAAUGAGGAGUCUUUUCUCAGUUCCCUCAGCAGGAUAUCUCCAACCAGAACAUGUCACACAUUCCCUCCAGAACCAGCUAUUAAUAAAGGAGAUGGGAUAACUCUUAGACCAACAAGGCCACCUCCUGGGGCUGUGGUAGGGCCAGCUUCCCCUAAGAACAUGGAGGUGCAGCUGCAUCUCUGUACUGAAGUAUAAUAUUUAAUAAGCAUCCUAUGGUGAUAAUAGUGAUGAUGUGAAUACUAUGAAUCUCGACCAUUUUUGUGUGUGAUGUACACUAUGCUGAGCUGGUUAAUAUAUCCAUUUAAUUCUCAUAACUUGGGGAUCCCUGGGUGGCGCAGUGGUUUGGCGCCUGCCUUUGGCCCAGGGCGCGAUCCUGGAGACCCGGGAUCGAAUCCCACAUCGGGCUCCCGGUGCAUGGAGCCUGCUUCUCCCUCGGCCUCUCU